GAGACUCUGUGCGCGUGCAUAUCAAUAAGCGGAGGAAAAGAAACUACAAGGAUUCCCUUAGUAACGGCGAGUGAAGCGGGAAGAGCUCAAAUUUGAAAUCUUCAAGGUUUUACCUUGACGAAUUGUAGUUUAAAGAAGUGUUUUCUGUUGAAGUUUUGGUAAAAGUUCUUUGGAAUAGGACAUCAUAGAGGGUGAGAAUCCCGUAUUUGACCAUUAUUUUCAGCUGUGUGAUACACUUUCAAAGAGUCGGAUUGUUUGGGAAUGCAGUCCAAAAUGGGUGGUAAAUUUCAUCUAAAGCUAAAUAUUGGCGAGAGACCGAUAGCGAACAAGUACCGUGAGGGAAAGAUGAAAAGAACUUUGAAAAGAGAGUUAAACAGUACGUGAAAUUGUCAAAAGGGAAGCGUUUGACACCAGUGUUGUUUUCUCGAAAAUCAAUUAAAAAGAGUUGGAUUUUGUGUUGUAUUGACCUUAACAGCUUUCUUCACUCUUUUCCUGCUUUUUUUAAUGCACUUUUCGUUUAACAAGUCAACAUCAGUUUCUUUUGUCGUAAAAGGGUCAUUGGAAGGUGGCUUUCUUUUCGGAGAAAGUGUUUAUAGCCUUUGAUCUCUGCAAUCGGAGAGACUGAGGUCUGCAGCGUAGAUCCUUCGGGGUUAGGUACAUUUGUGCUAAGUUAUAACUUUUCAUAGACAACUUGUUGACUAUGUUUAGUCAUGUAGCUUACUCGCUUAUGCUAUUUUACCUACGCUUAGGAUGUUGAUAUGCAUGACUGAUAUAGCCUAUACAUGACUCUGCGCAUAUCAAUAAGCGGAGGAAAAGGCAUACCUACGCUUAGGAUGUUGAAUCUGUGCGAGACUAC
rnacentral:rRNA from 1 species